UGUGUUUCCACUGGAGCAGAGCCCAGGCGAGGGCCGCCGCCUGCCAGUGUCACAGGGAACUGCAACAGCGUGGAUGACUGAAAUGAGCUGAGACUCACCCGCCAGGUGAGGAGGCCCCUCCUGAGAGCAGGUGAGCGGGCUCAUGCCUCGGAAACAUCGUCUGCAAUGGCCAACUCAAGGCCGCUCUCAGCUACCAAGCACUUGUGGGAGCUGCUCAUGCGAAUAAAACCUGAGCCUGCCCUGGGGUCCUGACCCGAACGAGUGAUUCCACAAAGCAGAAGCAACGGCCCACAGACCUGUGCCCCAGUGCGUGGGAAUGAUGGUGCACACAGUGUGGUUAAGGUCUGGCACGUGUCCCGAGCAGAACAACCUCAGCCCCAACAGCCUGGAGUGCGGCCCACCUAGUGACUUGCACCAGCUGCAUCCUGGGUCCACGCAGAUGGUAUGUCCUCCUGACCUCUGAGCUUUCACAUUCCUUCCUCGACACCUGCAGAGAGGUGCGUGUGCCUCAUUGCAGCGUCACCACCGCCAUCUCAAACAUCUUCAUAAAACAGUGGGGGUCGGGAGGCAUAGAGUCCUCCAAGGGUGGGAUUAUGGAGCUGUUUCCAGAUCUCUAGGUCCUUCCUGGUCUAAUCUACUCUACCAUGGAGCCCCAGGAGGAUUCAGCCUGGGAAGCCCUGGGCUUCCGUGUUCUGAGGACCUACAGUUAUUCUAAGUCUGC
rnacentral:lncRNA from 1 species